UACGAAGGGGGCUAGCGUUGCUCGGAAUUACUGGGCGUAAAGGGCGCGUAGGCGGACAGUUUAGUCAGAGGUGAAAGCCCAGGGCUCAACCUUGGAAUUGCCUUUGAUACUGGCUGUCUUGAGUUCGGGAGAGGUGAGUGGAAUGCCGAGUGUAGAGGUGAAAUUCGUAGAUAUUGGGAAGAACACCGGUGGCGAAGGCGGCUCUCUGGACCGAUACUGACGCUGAGGCGCGAAAGCGUGGGGAGCAAACAGG
rnacentral:rRNA from 1 species